CAAUAGCGUAUAUUAACGUUGUUGCAGUUAAAAAGCUCGUAGUUGGAUUUCUGGAGGGAGCGUCGGCCCGUCUUUACGAGUGCGUGACGUCUCUGUCCAUCCUUGCGGGAAGGCACGGCAUUGAUUUGUUGUGUCGGAUCGCAUCAUUUACUGUGAAAAAAUUAGAGUGUUCAAAGCAGGCUUUCGCUUGAAUACAUUAGCAUGGAAUAAUAAGAUAGGACUUUGGUGCUAUUUUGUUGGUUGAGCCUAAAGUAAUGAUUAAUAGGGAUAGUUGGGGGCACCUGUAUUGCGUUGUCAGAGGUGAAAUUCUUGGAUUUACGCAAGACAAACAGCUGCGAAAGCGUCUGCCAAGGAUGUUUUCAUUA
rnacentral:rRNA from 1 species